rnacentral:rRNA from 1 species
GAUGAACGCUGGCGGCGUGCCUAAUACAUGCAAGUCGAGCGAACAGACGAGGAGCUUGCUCCUCUGACGUUAGCGGCGGACGGGUGAGUAACACGUGGAUAACCUACCUAUAAGACUGGGAUAACUUCGGGAAACCGGGGCUAAUACCGGAUAAUAUAUUGAACCGCAUGGUUCAAUAGUGAAAGACGGUUUUGCUGUCACUUAUAGAUGGAUCCGCGCCGCAUUAGCUAGUUGGUAAGGUAACGGCUUACCAAGGCGACGAUGCGUAGCCGACCUGAGAGGAUGAUCAGCCACACUGGAACUGAGACACGGUCCAGACUCCUACGGGAGGCAGCAGUAGGGAAUCUUCCGCAAAGGGCGAAAGCCUGACGGAGCAACGCCGCGUGAGUGAUGAAGGUCUUCGGAUCGUAAAACUCUGUUAUUAGGGAAGAACAAAUGUGUAAGUAACUAUGCACGUCUUGACGGUACCUAAUCAGAAAGCCACGGCUAACUACGUG